rnacentral:rRNA from 1 species
UUAAGCUAAUAAGAGCACACGGAGGAUGCCUAGGCGCCAGGAGCCGACGAAGGACGUGGCGAACGACGAAAUGCCUCGGGGAGCCGUAAGCAGGCAGUGAUCCGGGGAUGUCCGAAUGGGGGAACCCGCGUAUCGUAAUAGAUACGUACUCACUACUGAAUACAUAGGUAGUGUAGAGGCAGACGAGGGGAACUGAAACAUCUAAGUACCCUCAGGAAAAGAAAACAAAAGUGAUUCCGUCAGUAGCGGCGAGCGAAAGCGGAUUAGCCCAAACCAGGGGGCUUGCCCCCUGGGGUUGUGGGACGUCAAGGUGGGUAGAGCAGCGUAGGCGAAGCGGUCUGGAAAGGCCGGCCACAGAAGGUAACAGCCCUGUAGCCGAAAUGCUGCGAAGACCCUAGACGAAUCCCGAGUACCGCGAGACACGUGAAACCUCGUGGGAAUCCGGCAGGACCAUCUGCCAAGGCUAAAUACUCCCUGGCGACCGAUAGUGAAGCAGUACCGUGAGGGAAAGGUGAAAAGAACCGCGGGAGCGGAGUGAAAAAGAACCUGAAACCGUGUGCUUACAAGAAGUCAGAGCUCGUUAACGAGUGAUGGCGUGCCUUUUGUAGAAUGAACCGGCGAGUUACGUUUGCAAGCAAGGUUAAGGUGAGAAGCCGAAGCCGCAGCGAAAGCGAGUCUGAAUAGGGCGGAUUAGUUUGCAGGCGUAGACCCGAAACCGUGUGAUCUACCCCUGUCCAGGGUGAAGGUGCGGUAACACGCACUGGAGGCCCGAACCCACGAAUGUUGAAAAAUUCGGGGAUGAGGUGGGGGUAGCGGAGAAAUUCCAAUCGAACUCGGAGAUAGCUGGUUCUCCCCGAAAUAGCUUUAGGGCUAGCCUCGGGAGAUGCGUCGUGGAGGUAAAGCACUGAUGGGGUGCGGGGCCCGCCAAGGGUUACCAAGUCCAGUCAAACUCUGAAUGCCACAGACGUUAACCCGGGAGUCAGACAGUGAGUGCUAAGAUCCAUUGUCAAGAGGGAAACAGCCCAGAUCAUCAGCUAAGGUCCCCAAGUGUGUGUUAAGUGGGAAAGGAUGUGGAGUUGCGCAGACAACCAGGAUGUUGGCUUAGAAGCAGCCACCAUUCAAAGAGUGCGUAAUAGCUCACUGGUCGAGUGACUCUGCGCCGAAAAUGUAACGGGGCUAAACACACCACCGAAGCUAUGGGUCCAGAAAUGGGCAGUAGGGGAGCGUUGUAACAGCAGAGAAGGUUGAUCGUGAGGACAGCUGGAGCGGUUACAAGUGAGAAUGCCGGUAUGAGUAACGAAAAGAUCAGUGAGAAUCUGAUCCGCCGAAAGCCUAAGGGUUCCUGAGGAAGGUUCGUCCGCUCAGGGUAAGUCGGGACCUAAGGCGAGGCCGAAAGGCGUAGUCGAAGGACAACAGGUUGAAAUUCCUGUACCACCGUGAACCGUGAUGAGUGAUGGGGUGACGCAGAAGGAUAGUGACGCGAGCUGAUGGAUGCUCGUCCAAGCAGUGAGGCUGGUCAAUAGGCAAAUCCGUUGAUCAUAAGGCUAAGCUGUGACGGGGAGGGAAAAAUACAGUACCGAAGGUCAUGAGUUCAGGCUGCCAAGAAAAGCCUCUAGCCAGGGAGAAGGUGCCCGUACCGCAAACCGACACAGGUAGGCGAGCAGAGCAUGCUAAGGCGCGCGGAAGAACUCUCGUUAAGGAACUCGGCAAAAUGACCCCGUAACUUCGGGAGAAGGGGUGCCCCGGUAGGGUGAAUAGCCCGAGGGGGCCGCAGUGAAAAGGCCCAAGCGACUGUUUAGCAAAAACACAGGUCUGUGCGAAGCCGCAAGGCGAAGUAUACGGGCUGACGCCUGCCCGGUGCUGGAAGGUUAAGGGGAGCGGUUAGGGUAAAACCGAAGCUGUGAACCGAAGCCCCAGUAAACGGCGGCCGUAACUAUAACGGUCCUAAGGUAGCGAAAUUCCUUGUCAGGUAAAUUCUGACCCGCACGAAUGGCGUAACGACUUGGGCGCUGUCUCGACGAGAGAUCCGGUGAAAUUUUAAUACCUGUGAAGAUGCAGGUUACCCGCGACAAGACGGAAAGACCCCAUGGAGCUUUACUGCAGCUUGAUAUUGGACUUGGGUACGAUCUGUACAGGAUAGGUGGGAGCCUGAGAAGCAUGAGCGCCAGCUUGUGCGGAGGCGACGUUGGGAUACCACCCUGAUCGUAUCGGAGUUCUAACCUGGUGCCCUGAUCGGGUAUGGGGACAGUGUCAGGNGGUUACAAGUGAGAAUGCCGGUAUGAGUAACGAAAAGAUCAGUGAGAAUCUGAUCCGCCGAAAGCCUAAGGGUUCCUGAGGAAGGUUCGUCCGCUCAGGGUAAGUCGGGACCUAAGGCGAGGCCGAAAGGCGUAGUCGAAGGACAACAGGUUGAAAUUCCUGUACCACCGUGAACCGUUAUGAGUGAUGGGGUGACGCAGAAGGAUAGUGACGCGAGCUGAUGGAUGCUCGUCCAAGCAGUAAGGCUGGUCAAUAGGCAAAUCCGUUGAUCGUAAGGCUAAGCUGUGACGGGGAGGGAAAAUAACAGUACCGAAGGUCAUGAGUUCAGGCUGCCAAGAAAAGCCUCUAGCCAGGGAGAAGGUGCCCGUACCGCAAACCGACACAGGUAGGCGAGCAGAGCAUGCUAAGGCGCGCGGAAGAACUCUCGUUAAGGAACUCGGCAAAAUGACCCCGUAACUUCGGGAGAAGGGGUGCCCCGGUAGGGUGAAUAGCCCGAGGGGGCCGCAGUGAAAAGGCCCAAGCGACUGUUUAGCAAAAACACAGGUCUGUGCGAAGCCGCAAGGCGAAGUAUACGGGCUGACGCCUGCCCGGUGCUGGAAGGUUAAGGGGAGCGGUUAGGGUAAAACCGAAGCUGUGAACCGAAGCCCCAGUAAACGGCGGCCGUAACUAUAACGGUCCUAAGGUAGCGAAAUUCCUUGUCAGGUAAAUUCUGACCCGCACGAAUGGCGUAACGACUUGGGCGCUGUCUCGACGAGAGAUCCGGUGAAAUUUUAAUACCUGUGAAGAUGCAGGUUACCCGCGACAAGACGGAAAGACCCCAUGGAGCUUUACUGCAGCUUGAUAUUGGACUUGGGUACGAUCUGUACAGGAUAGGUGGGAGCCUGAGAAGCAUGAGCGCCAGCUUGUGCGGAGGCGACGUUGGGAUACCACCCUGAUCGUAUCGGAGUUCUAACCUGGUGCCCUGAUCGGGUAUGGGGACAGUGUCAGGCAGGCAGUUUGACUGGGGCGGUCGCCUCCUAAAGCGUAACGGAGGCGCCCCAAGGUUCCCUCAGAAUGGUUGGAAAUCAUUCGCAGAGUGCAAAGGCAAAAGGGAGCUUGACUGCGAGACAAACAGGUCGAGCAGGGACGAAAGUCGGGCUUAGUGAUCCGGUGGUACCGAAUGGAAGGGCCAUCGCUCAACGGAUAAAAGCUACCCUGGGGAUAACAGGCUUAUCUCCCCCAAGAGUCCACAUCGACGGGGAGGUUUGGCACCUCGAUGUCGGCUCAUCGCAUCCUGGGGCUGAAGUAGGUCCCAAGGGUUGGGCUGUUCGCCCAUUAAAGCGGUACGCGAGCUGGGUUCAGAACGUCGUGAGACAGUUCGGUCCCUAUCUGUCGCGGGCGCAGGAAAUUUGAGAGGAGCUGUCCUUAGUACGAGAGGACCGGGAUGGACGUACCGCUGGUGUACCAGUUGUUCCGCCAGGAGCACGGCUGGAUAGCCAAGUACGGAAGGGAUAAGCGCUGAAAGCAUCUAAGCGUGAAGCCCCCCUCAAGAUGAGAUUUCCCCGUAGGUAAGACCCCUUGUAGACGACGAGGUAGAUAGGUUCGGGGUGGAAGCGCGGCAACGUGUGGAGCUGACGAAUACUAAUCGGUCGAGGGCUUAUCCAA